UUUUGUUAAAUUUGCUGCAUUAGAUUAGCUAAAGUCGUUAGACUAUGAACUACGAUACAUCAAAAGCAAAAGUCAAACUUAGGAGUUACUGUUUAUUGCAAAAUAAUCAUCGCAUGAACUUGUUUCCCUCUUGAAUGGCACCGACAACAUUCUCUCUCUCUCAUUUUUCUCAUUUCUCUAUUCUCUCCCAUUCUCUCGGCCCCUACACUCCAUUUCUCUGCCUUUGUCUCAUAGAGCUUGGCCCGACACUCACUUUCUCUCUCCUUUUUUCUGUUUCGUUGCUUGUUUUCUUCCCCAUUUUGUUAUUUCAUCUCUCUCUCGACUUGGCUCAAGAACCAAACAGCGGCAAGGACAAUGGAUCUGCACCGAGAAUCAACAUUGAAUGUGUCCCUACAACCCUGGGAGAGGAUCUUCGAUUUUUUCCCUAAAGUGCCUUUCUGAGGAUCUCCAUUUCGAUUUCGAUAUAUGCAAGGAAUGAUCCAAGUAUAUCUUGAGUAGUUAUCCAUGAUCACCAUUAUAUGCUUCUUUCCGCUGAGGCUCUUAUUCUGAGUAGGACCCAUCAAAUCCAUGUGUAACAGCUCAAGUGGUCUUGAGGGCUGCAGGAUUACCAACGUUUCUCAGGUACCAGAUCAGUGGUUCUUGAUUUAGCUGAAACACCUUCAAACCUCUUUGAGUACUUUGCAUGGGAUUAUCGAGUCUUGAGAACAUUUGCUAGACAUUAUUCAACUGGUGAAAUAAUUCCUGAGAAGUCGGUGGAGUCAAUGCAGGGUGCCAAAAAGAUGUUUGCUGCUACUGAAUUGCAACUUCAGGUUUACACGUCCAAUGUUAUUAAUCAGCAAGCCUUCGAGAUAUAGUAUUGCUAAUAGAAAAUCAAUUUGUAAAAGGUAAAACAGGAUCACAGACAGAGACAAAGAGAGAGAGAGAUUAUGGACGACUCAAUAUCACAUAAAAUCAAUAUUCCUAAUUCUAAA